UUUUAUUUACCGGUCGAGGCUUGUUGCAAUAUGUAUUAUUAUCAAAUCAUAUUGCACAUUCCCCGGCCUGUAGAAAUAAU
rnacentral:pre_miRNA from 12 species